rnacentral:rRNA from 1 species
GACAGAGGGUGCAAGCGUUGUUCGAAAUCACUGGGCGUAAAGGGCACGUAGGCGGCAUAGUGUGUCUGAUGUGAAAGACCUUGGCCUAACCAAGGAAGUGCAUUGGAAACUACUUUGCUAGAGUAUGAGAGAGGAUGGCGGAAUUCCCAGAGUAGAGGUGAAAUUCGUAGAUACUGGGAGGAACACCUGAGGCGAAGGCGGCCAUCUGGAUCAUAACUGACGCUGAGGUGCGAAAGCAUGGGUAGCAAACAGG